CCCUCUUCGGUUAAACUUUCUAGCUUCGUUUGGUGGGAGAGAACCAGAAGAGCCUGCAGACUCUGCAGGGGUCUCGCUUGCCCAUCGCUGGCAGCCUGAGAUCCUGGGGAGGGGAUGCCACACUGCCAAAGAGGCUGCAGUGCAAUGGCACGAUCUCAGCUCCGUGCGAUCUCAGCUCACAGCAACUUCUACCUCCUGGCUUCAAGCGAUUCUCCUGCCUUCGCCUCCUGAUUAGCUGGAAUUACAGGACGGCCACCCCACACUGCUGCUGCCGAGGAUAGUGGAUGAAGAUGUGCUGGAUGAAGUUGCGAGGCCGGAAGACCUCCUUGGGGAAGAUGUCGAGCAGCUGGUUGUACACGGCCAGGUCCCGCUCAACGCCAUACUCACGCAUCUUGCGCAGGGCCAGAUAAGAAAACCAAGACCCAGGAAGAUGAAGCGAGAUGCACGGUGUCCCACAGCUGCAAAGCAUCAGAACUGAGAAUGGAGUCAGUGACCUCAGUACCCCUGCUUUGCUGUCCCCAACAGCCAUCCAUGUCCUUCUUCGAUAAGGCAAUGUUUAAAAAAAAAAAAAAAAAAAAAAAAGGGCAUUCAUUUAAAGUAAAAUAUCAGGCUGGGUGUGUUAGCUCAUACCUGUAAUCCCAGAACUUUGGGAGGCUGAGGUAGGUGGAUCACUUGAGGUCAGGAGUUUGACACCAGCCUGGCCAACAUGGUGAAACCCCAACUCUACUAAAAAAAAAACACAAAAAUUAGGCCGGGCGAGGUGGCUCACGCCUAUAAUCCCAACACUUUGGGUGGAUCAUGAGGUCAAGAGAUCGAGACCAUCCUGGUCAACAAGGUGAAACCCCGUCUCUACUAAAAAUACAAAAAUUAUCUGGGCAUGGUGGUGCACGCCUGUAGACCCAGCUACUUGGGAGACUAAGGCAGGAGAAUUGCUUGAACCCCGGAGGCGGAGGUUGCAGUGAGCCGAGAUUGCGCCAUUGCACUCAGUCUCAAAAAAAAAAACAAAAAACACAAAAAUUAGCUGGGUGUGGUGAUGUGUGCGUAAUCCCAGCUACCCAGGAGACUGAGGUAGGAGAAUCAUUUGAACCUGGAAGGCAGAGGUUGCAAUGAGCGGAAAUCGCACCACUGCACUCCAGCCUAGGUGACAGAGGAAGACUCCAACUCAAAAAAGAAAAAAACCCUGAAAUUUCAGUCAACUAAUACUAUAGGUGGUGUAGUAUUAUACCACUUUAGGUAAAAAUCAGAAAGGAAGCUCUAAAAUGCCUAAUGAGGGGGAAACUCUGCAAAGGAGGUAAUGUAAAUGAAAUGCACAGCAUGGGGUGGGCUCAAUACAAGAACUAUUAAUAUUCCCACCAUCAUCGUUAUUGCUAUCUAUGGCUGUCAAUCUGCUUUCCCCAUCUGGUCACUAUGGGUAUGGGAAAGAAAUUCAGUUUUCUGCUCCAUCUUUACAAGUAGAUUCAGGAGCUACCCACAGUCACCACACAAAUCCAGUGAGCUCAUAUGUCCUUAUUUUCAAAGUCAACCCCCUCACCUACGUGGGCACUAGCAUCUCUUAAAAUAAAUUAGGGUCCAGGCACAGUGGCUCGAGCCUGUAACCCUAGCACUUCGGGAGGCCAAAGUGGAAGGAUCCAAAGCCCAGAGGUUCAAGACCAGCCUGGGUAACAUGGCAAGUCCACAUGCCUAAAAAGAAUUAACAGCCGGGCACAGUUGCUAUUUGUUUUACACAUACACCUAAAAUCCCAGCAGUUUGGGAGGCCAAGGCAGGCGGAUCACCUGAGGUCAGGAGUUCCAGACCAGCCUGGCCAACAUGGUGAACCUCUGUCUCUACUAAAAUUAUAAAAAUUAGCUGGCCGUGGUGGCAGCUAUCUGUAAUCCCAGCUACUUAGAAGGCUGAGGCAGAAGAAUCACUUUAACCCGGGAGGUAGAGGUUGCAGUGAGCCAAGACCACACCACUCCACUCCAGCCUGAGUGAUAAGAGCAAAACUCCAUCUAAAAACAAAAAAAGCCAGGUAUAGUGGCUCAAAUCUAUGGUCCUAGCUACUCAGGGGACUGAGGUGAGAGGCUCACUUGAGCCGAGGAGUUUGAGGCUACAGUGAGCCCUGAUUCCACCACUGUGCUCCAGCCUAGGUGGCAGAGCAAGACCCUGUCUCAAAAAUAAAUCAAUAAAUUAGGGGCUUUUGGCUAGGGGCUGUGGCUUAUGCCUGUAAUUCCAGGACUUUGGGAGGCUGAGGCAGGUGGAUAACUUGAACCCAGGAGUUUGAGACCAGCCUGGCCAACAUGGCAAAACCCCUUCUCUAAAAAAAUAUGUAAAGCUUAGCUAGGCGUGGUAGUAUGUGCCUGUAGUCCUGGCUACUUGGGAGGAUGAGGCGGGAAGAUUGCUUGAACCUGGGAGGUCAAGACUAUUGUGAGCUGUGAUCACACCACCGCACCCCAGCCUCGGCAAAAGAGUGAGACACUGUCUCAAAAAACAAACAAACAAACAUAUAUACAUAAAUUAGAGACUUUCAAUGGGACUUCAGCACAGAUAAACCAGCCUAGACUCACCAGAAUUGGCUUCACAGAGUGGAUUCUGAAGGGGCUGAGAGUAAAUCUCAAGCUUACCUCCCUCUGCCCUAAAGACUGCCUGGCUGGUGCUUACCUGAG